rnacentral:misc_RNA from 1 species
GCGGACGCACUUGUUCGGAUCUGAUCGCUGUACAUUCUAUCCUCCACUAUCCCGCAUAUUAACACAGAAAACAAAACACUAAUUUACACAUGCGCACACAGAUGCAUCCUUCUGCUCCACAUUUUGAAAGAGAACCCGCACAUCAGAAGGAAAUAUACAGGGCUGCGCACGCCGAUGAGCGGCGACGCCGACGCUUUCUAUACGAGCUCAUUAAAAGUGGAAUGGGCGGCUCUCAGAGUUAGCGCGAUACAAAGAGAGACAAAGAAAAUGAUGUAUGGGCAGCAGGGAUGGAGACGACAGGGAGGGAGGCCGCGUUGAAAGAGCUGUUUCCCACUCCCAGCCACCUCUCAGAGUUCUCUUCUUCCUUUUUCCUCUUUUUUUUUGCUGAAGUGUUUGCCGGAAAAGAAAAAAUGAGAACAUAGCGAGGGGAACAAGAGAAGAGCAAGAGAGGGUAGCGAAAGCAUAGACGCAUGGCGCAUGAUUACAGGUGUCGGGUCUUUUUUCGUUUGGAUUUCUUCGCCCUCAUGACAGGGGAAGGACCCCUUUGAGUGCGCGGCAUUUCAGGGGUCAGUACCCACUCUGUGUGGAGAGGCCAGGUGGCCCCCUAUCCUAGCCACUGCCGAACCACCCCUGGUGGUGACAGGGCCAGGGUGCCUAGGACGUGGGGAGGUCAGUGCGAUGCAGUGGCACGGAUGCCGGCGGCCAAUCCCUGGACGGCGUGGCGCCGGUGCGACCCGCGACCGUGAGCAUGCUUGCGCCAUCCAUGCGAUGGGCAAGGCGUCAGCGUGAUUCCAACGCGUCUCGCUCGGCCCUCGCACUGCCUGCUGCUGGGGAGGCUGAGUGCCACCCUGCGAGGCGGGUGGGUGGGUAGAGUUUGGGUCAGGGGCCGUGCACAGAUGACUGGGUCGGCGCACUGCUGUGAUGCGUGUCUGCGGCUGCGUUGCACCGCGCGCUGGGUGCCUGUGACAGACCCGGAAGAGUGGAGCUUGGCGCAUGUUGUAUGAAGCAGGAAUGGACACGUGCCAUGGGAAAGAACAAAAGGCUCGUGUGAGAUCUCAAGGAAUCGAGUUACUUUUAGGGUUUUGUUUCGGCACAUGCACAGCGGGUACAACAUCAACCCCUGCAAGUUCAGGUUUUGGAACACAGUAAGUAUUUUCGAAGUGUAGCACAUUCGGUGCGAACAACGGCGUUUUCAUGACAUGUGAAGUACACCUACUCGAGCAGCGCUACGGUGAAGAAAUAACGACAAUGGAAAGGUUAACAGGGGGCCAGAUCUGUGCGUAGGAUGGACAGCUAGCCACUCGAGUCUCAACCUUGGAGAAAGACAUGAAUACCCUCAUUCCAGCAUACAGCACGUUUGGAACCGUUAGUCGAGGCCACUCUACAAGCUGUGACGGCCGUGGACGAGGGUGACAACACAGCGAAGGCCACCCUUGAUGCGUUUGGUGGCGUCCUUCGGCGUCAUGUAGGGGAACUUUGCACAAAGGCCGAGUCGAAACACGGUGUCUUUGUUACGUCCUGCUGUCAAGGUGAUGCGCUUGGCAAACGAGCGGGGGAACGUGGAGGAGACCUUUCUCAGCCACACGUCCGUUAUUCUGAAGCUGCACCACAAAGCGGAGAAGGUACCGCUAACCCCACAGAGACGUGAGAGCGGGUUUUGGACGCAUUCGUCUGACCAAGAAGGUCUUACAAAGCGCGAGGAAGCCACCGGUGUGGAGGGCGCGCUUGCUCUCACGGACGUGAAGACGUGGGGAGGCACAUACACUGAUUUGUCGGGCAAGACUGCAGAGUCGUUUCUUGCGCAAGAAAUUGCCUGGGGGCCUGAUAGCGCCUCAUGAGGGAUUCGAGACGGCGCUACAUUCGCUCAUGUUGUUGGCCUGCAACGCUGUAAAGCGCCCUAGCCUUUUGGAACGGAAUAGCCCAGGCGGACAGUGCCGCGGUGGAGCGAUUGCUCGCUUAUACAUGCAAGAACGGCUUUUCGCAAGUGGCACCACUGGUCUUUGCGGAGCAACACGAGAAUCAACCCAAUGAAGCUCCCGAUGAAGUACUUGCGUGCCGCGGUGCGCAAUCACAAACCCGAAGCAGGAGCUCAGUGCCAUGAGUGUGGAUAACCCGAGCCUGAUUGCAUGGCUCUGUCAAAAGGGUGGGUGUCCCAGGACUGCCUUUGGGGCAGGCCACCGAUUUGCCGAAUCGCCGGGAGGACAACGCGCCGUGUUUCGUGCCAGGGAAGAGGGAGGCUCCGACGGUGACUAUGGUUACAGUUGUGCAAUUGCCUGGCUGAUUGGCUGCUUUGUUUGCUGAAGGUGGCGAGGCUGGCGCAGCUGGUCACAACGGCGGUUCUACGCCAUAGGCGCUGAUGUAGGCUGAAGCGCGGACCGUAGGGUUAGGUUAUUCGGCCCUUUGCCGCGCACGUUGCCGUGCAUUCACAUAUUUUGGGUGAGACACACAUCACCUUUGGAAUUCAUCAGAGGAGACUUCCCGCGGUGCGUGACGGUGGCAGUGGAUAUUGCACGCAUGAAUACACUUCUCCGUAUCCUGGAGGUGCUCCUUGCAUUUCUCUACAUUCGUUUCAAACAUACUCUUGCAGACAGGCCGUCUCGUGGCUUGUCAUCAACCAUGCGAGGCGUAGUUCAGGGCUACUACAAUGAAAAGACAGGAAUCCUUGAAUGGAGGAAAAAAAAGAUAGGUCUUCGUAUUCUUGCGCAGUGUUAUCGUGUGAUUAAGGCGAAGCAUAGCAGCUUGGUAUAUUCUUGAUCAGUGAUAGAAAACUCGCCAGCUGGGAAGAACGAGGCGCAUGUAUUGGAAUGCAUCAUCAUACAAAGAUGUCGUUCGACCUCCUCCUCUCUCUUGUUGCUUUAUACCCCCCUCUUUUGUUUGCUUCCGCUUCUCUUUCAUGUGUGCCGUUGCCUGCCAAUCUGUGUAUAGAUCAAUGUGCAUGGGGUUUUCACGCUCUCACUUAGUUCUCUCUUCCACAGCCUGUUUUUUAUUUUGUUUGAGCUCCACUUCAUUUCGCCUUUUCUGUUUUGAUGCAGCGCAUCUUCUUGCUUUGCUCUCGGCAUCGAUGCUGGCGUCCGACGCACGUGUGUGUUUGUGCGCGUGUGGUCAGCUUGAUCUGGAAUGCGUGCUUGUGAGCUUCGUCUCCCUUCUUCCUCUCCAUUAUGUGGGCCACCAAUCGGGACAAGGAAAAAGCCGACAUGAAGGCCCCGGCUAGCAAAAACGUUGGAGUGUCUCCCCUUCUUUUCGGCACUUUGGGCCACUGCCACGCGCAACUCUUCGAGGUACCGUGGACAGAGGUGUUCGGAUGCUCUCACACUCUUUAUCACCCUUGACGUUGCUCGAACCGUCCAUCGUGCCGUCAGAGGCGGAAAGCGAGCGAUUGUGAGAGCUCUGCACACCGUAUCUUCGCUUCUUCAUGUGACUCCUGCUCGC